rnacentral:lncRNA from 1 species
AAAGUGCUGGGAUUACAGGCCUGAGCCACCGCGCCCGGCCCCUUCCAUGUCCUGAUUUCAUCUUCACUCAAUUCUUUUAUUCAUUUUCUGCGUCUACUAUGUGGAUUGUCUAAAUGAUUAGUAAGAGCACAUUGUGUGGAUAUUGCGUUAUCUCAAAGAACUACCCUGUAAAUACAAGGUCUACAGAUCACAGAGUUCUCAAAUUGUUUGGCACAUAAUUGAUAAUGUUUAUUUAGUUGAUCAAGUGUUCUAUCUUCUAAGUCUCUUCUCUGCUACAAUUCUCCACCCACUCCUGGCAUCUGGCCGACCCCCAAGAACCUGAAGAAGGCCAGAGAUGUGAUUCCGACAGAAUGGUGGGGGCAGCAUAGGUGGCUGAGCCUCUGAGAGAAAUCCCAUCUUUCCAAACAGAGGACUGGGAAAAUACAUCCUGGGAUCCAGAGAUUGUGGGGGACAUUCCAAAGAGGAAUAGUCAGCGAAAGCAUAAUCCAUCUAAUGCCAGAAAUCUACUGACUGCUAACAGAGAAGAAAUUUAUGAUCUGCUGAGAUUUGGCAGUUGUUUGUUACUACAACAUGAGGCUAUCCAAUCUGGACCAGUAUAGCACUUACCUAGAGAAGAAGAUAAUUAUAAAUGAGUGGGGGAAAAUGACUUAGAAUUAUUCUAAGGAAAUUAUCUUCUGAUCUGUUCUAAUAUCAGUUCUGAUCAAUUCUUCCAAGCAAAUGAUUUUCCAAGUGUCUAUUAAAUUUAAUAAAGCAUUCAAGAAAAUGACACAAAGUCAGAGAUUUGCUUUAACAUAUAUCAGGAAAUAAGUUGAAACAGAUGAAAUAAAUGUGCCAAAAUCUUGAUAAUUGCUAAAUCCAGGUGAUGGCUAUUCCUUUUACUUUUAAAUAUAUUUGAACAUUUUUAUAAAACAAAAUUGGAGAUGAAUCCUCAAAAAGACAUGAUUGAAAUAUAAUUGAUAUAAAAAGUUGCAAUUAGUAUGAAAUAAUACUUAUAAUGAUGAAUAAAAAUUGUACUAAAAUAAGAUUUGCCAGGGUUAUUUCACAACUGUAUGAAACAUAUACUACAAGGUGCACAUAAUCGCUUUGUCUUUUAUUGACCUAAAUAAAAUAUACAUCAAUAUACUCUAUAAGUUGAUUUUAUAAUUAUUAAUUUGGCAUAUUGAUAUUGUUAAUGAGUAGCUAUUCUGGUGACUGGAAAGAUUUUU